AGGAAGAAAACGAAUACAAUUGCAAAGGCAGUCAAUAUAUUGAAAAAUGUUGUAGACUAUAGAUAAUAUUGCACCCCCUUGUAUUGAGCCCUUCUGUAAAAGAGUGAGGAUUAGGAGUCUCUUCUCACAUCUUCUCUUUGGGUCAGGUUUGCUCUUUAAAGUUUGCAACUUUAUCUGCAUUGUUGUACAGAGAAUAAUUAAAAUUUCCUGCAAAUGUGUCAUUAGGAUUUACCCUCUGUGCUUGUGAAUUUGGACUGUUGAGCAUUGGCUCCUGUGGGUUUCUGAGGAUGUUUCCAAAGUUGGUAGCCUGAAUGCUUUAGAAAUGAUAACUUUCUCACUUGGACUACACUUUUUGGAAGUUGGUUCAAAGUCCUUAUUGUGCUUUCACAUGUUUUGCCUUGGAAGGGGUAUUGAGAAAACGAUUCUAAUCUCCUUCGAACAUCUUUUCUGCCUAAAAAAUUACCAAAACAAAAAGUUCAAAGUAGUCUCAGUUCAAAAUUUUGACUUUGAAUUUCUUUAAAAAUAUUUUUUUCUCUCUUCCUAACAAUGUUUCUUUUCUACAGGAAAAAAUUGAAGUGGAAAGUGGAACUGAAGAGGAAAAUGGUUUUGAUGAUUAUUCAAUUCUGUUAUCUCUCUGGAGAACCAGGAAAACAUUAAUGAGGAAGAAAAUAUCACCAUAAAGGAAAACAUGACUAAAAAGGAAAACAUUUAUGAUGCUUCGACUCUACUAUCUUCCUGGACAAACAGAGAAACUGAAUUCAGGAAACAAGAACUGACAAGAAAAAUCAUUUUGCAAGAGCAAACGCAGGCAUUCCUCACGGACAUCAAAGAGUUGUAUGCCGUGGAAAGUGAUGAACAUUCGGAAGAGGAAAACAUCCUUGAAAUGGAAAGAAUGAUUGAAAAUGAAACCGCUCUUAAUGAGGAAAACAUCACAGAAACAAAAACCACCACUGGGAAGAAAUCUAUUCGUUAUACUGGUUGGACCCUGGCCCGUCUCUGGACAAUCAGGAAAUCAAUGAUGACAAGGAGAAGAACGAAUUGA
rnacentral:lncRNA from 1 species